rnacentral:ribozyme from 1 species
AAUCGUUUGAGCGAUUCAAAACCACAUUAGGCUCAAAGCGUCCGAGUUGUUUAAACGACUCGGGGUUGUA